rnacentral:rRNA from 1 species
GACGAAGGAUGCAAGCGUUAUCCGGAUUCAUUGGGUUUAAAGGGUGCGUAGGCGGACUUGUAAGUCAGUGGUGAAAUCUCUCAGCUUAACUGAGAAACUGCCAUUGAUACUGCAGGUCUAGAGUAUAGAUGACGUUGGCGGAAUAUGACAUGUAGUGGUGAAAUACUUAGAUAUGUCAUAGAACACCGAUUGCGAAGGCAGCUAACGAAACUAUAACUGACGCUGAGGCACAAAAGUGCGGGGAUCAAACAGG